AGAGUUAAACAGUACGUGAAAUUGUUGAAAGGGAAACGAUUGAAGCCAGUCGUACCUACGGACAAUCAGCUUUUUGGGUAUGAUUACGUGGGACGUGAGGAGUUAAACGCCUUUGCUUUCGCGUAUUUGUGCUCUUGGGUGUACUUGCCCGUGCGGUAGGUUAACAUCAAUUUCGGACGUCAUAAAAUGGUUGGAGGAAUGUAGCUUCGGUCUCGUACUGAAGUGUUAUAGCCUCCGGUAGAUGUGAUGACCGGGAUUGAGGAUUGCAACGGAUACCCUUCGGGGCUACCCGUCUGAUCUCUGAAAGUUGCUCUGGUGUCGAAAGCGUGCUUACGGUUAUCAAAGUUGACGGUCAACAGGUUAGAACGGGUUAAAUUCGUUAAGGAUGUUGACGUAAUGGCUUUAAACGACC
rnacentral:rRNA from 1 species